GGGGAUAGCUCAAGUGGUAGAGUGCAUGCUUAUUAUGCAUGAAGUCCUGGGUUCAAUCCCCAGUACCGCCU
rnacentral:tRNA from 1 species